UACGGAAGGCAGCAGUGGGGAAUAUUGCACAAUGGGCGAAAGCCUGAUGCAGCUAUGCCGCGUGUAUGAAGAAGGCCUUAGGGUUGUAAAGUACUUUCAUCGGGGAGGAAAAACAAAACUAAUAAUUUUAUUUCUUGACGUUACCCGAAAAAGAAGCACCGGCUAACUCCGUGCCAGCAGCCGCGGUAAUACGGAGGGUGCUAGCGUUAAUCAGAAUUACUGGGCGUAAAGAGCACGUAGGUGGUUUUUUUAAAGUCAGAUGUGAAAUCCCUGGGCUUAACCUAGGAACUGCAUUUUGAAACUGAAAUACUAGAGUAUCGUAGAGGGAGGUAGAAUUCUAGGUGUAGCGGUGAAAUGCGUAGAUAUCUGGAGGAAUACCUGUGGCGAAAGCGGCCUCCUAAACGAAUACUGACACUGAGGGUGCGAAAGCGUGGGGAGCAAACAGGGAUUAGAUAC
rnacentral:rRNA from 1 species